UGUGGGAAGGGGCUGCACCACAGUCCACAGAGCCCUGGCCUGGCUCAUUGCUGGUGGCGGAUGCACUCAUUCUCAGGGACAGACAGCAAGGAAGGGGCCCAGGCUGUACUGCCACAGCAAGGAUCGAGCCCCUGAGUGGCUCCCCUGCUAUCCACCCCAGGCAUGCAUGCACCCGCUGUUGGUAAGCCAGGCUGAGACUCCGCAGACCCUGGCACAGCUGCUUGCAGAAGAAAGUCACAAUUCUGCUGUGGGAGUGAAGAGGAAGUUGAAAUGUAUUCAAUGUAGUGGCUCACCAUGACUUUAAAAAGUUGGUGCUGGAAGGGCUAAGCACAAUGGGUGCUACCAUGUAUCCUAUUCAAAUAGACUGCACUAACCUAUCUAUCAGUAUGUUUGCCCAGUGUGUUUUAUAGUCAUGCUCAGUAUUGGCUGCAUAUAAUCAUCUUCAUAGUUGGUUUUCAUUACUGAACACAUGCUGCUUUAGGCAGCAGUUUAAAUGAUAGAUAAUGUAUCUAAUGAGGUUUCCUUGUAUGCAAAUCAAGGUGCUUUCCC